UCGCCGCGGUAAUACCAGCUCCCCGAGUGGUCGGGACGUUUAUUGGGCCUAAAGCAUCCGUAGCCGGUCCUGUAGGUCUUCUGUUAAACCCCAACAGCUCAACUGUUGGACUGCAGAAGAUACCGCAGGACUAGGAGGCGGGGAGAGGCGGACGGUACUCCAUGGGUAGGGGUAAAAUCCUUUGAUCCAUGGAAGACCACCAGUGGCGAAGGC
rnacentral:rRNA from 1 species